rnacentral:rRNA from 1 species
AGUGAACGCUGGCGGUAGGCCUAACACAUGCAAGUCGAACGGCAGCACAGUAAGAGCUUGCGCUUACGGGUGGCGAGUGGCGGACGGGUGAGGAAUACAUCGGAAUCUACUUUUUCGAGGGGGAUAACGUAGGGAAACUUACGCUAAUACCGCAUACGACCUACGGGUGAAAGCAGGGGAUCUUCGGACCUUGCGCGAUUGAAUGAGCCGAUGUCGGAUUAGCUAGUUGGCGGGGUAAAGGCCCACCAAGGCGACGAUCCGUAGCUGGUCUGAGAGGAUGAUCAGCCACACUGGAACUGAGACACGGUCCAGACUCCUACGGGAGGCAGCAGUGGGGAAUAUUGGACAAUGGGCGAAAGCCUGAUCCAGCCAUACCGCGUGGGUGAAGAAGGCCUUCGGGUUGUAGAGCCCUUUUGUUGGGAAAGAAAAGCAGCAGGUUAAUACCCCGCUGUUCUGACGGUACCCAAAGAAUAAGCACCGGCUAACUUCGUG